GAUCCUGGCUCAGAGUGAACGCUGGCGGUAGGCCUAACACAUGCAAGUCGAACGGCAGCACAGUAAGAGCUUGCUCUUAUGGGUGGCGAGUGGCGGACGGGUGAGGAAUACAUCGGAAUCUACCUUUUCGUGGGGGAUAACGUAGGGAAACUUACGCUAAUACCGCAUACGACCUUCGGGUGAAAGCAGGGGACCUUCGGGCCUUGCGCGGAUAGAUGAGCCGAUGUCGGAUUAGCUAGUUGGCGGGGUAAAGGCCCACCAAGGCGACGAUCCGUAGCUGGUCUGAGAGGAUGAUCAGCCACACUGGAACUGAGACACGGUCCAGACUCCUACGGGAGGCAGCAGUGGGGAAUAUUGGACAAUGGGCGCAAGCCUGAUCCAGCCAUACCGCGUGGGUGAAGAAGGCCUUCGGGUUGUAAAGCCCUUUUGUUGGGAAAGAAAAGCAGUCGAUUAAUACUCGGUUGUUCUGACGGUACCCAAAGAAUAAGCACCGGCUAACUUCGUGCCAGCAGCCGCGGUAAU
rnacentral:rRNA from 1 species